GUGUGCAUGGUCGCACAGCAAGUGGGCAGUGUUAAGCAGGCAGAGCUGGAGCCAGGGCUCCUGACUGCUUUCAGGCCUUGGGCUUUGGUGGGUGACCAAGUCCAGAGCUAGCUCUCUUCCCGCCUCCUGAGAUCAGAGGAACCCUAGGGCUAUCUUCCUCUGCAGUGCGCAUGGCUUGCCUGAGGACCCCCCCGCUGCAGGGAAAAGGAGGGGCAGCCAGCUAUGGGGCCAGCUGGGAGGGCUUUGCAGGCCGAAGGGGACAGUGAUGGGCAGCAGGGAAUGCUGUGGGCCCAGUGACAGUGGGCAGUGGUUCUGGGGAUGUAAGGAUUUUUAACUUGCAGGUGGGAGGUUGCAAGUUGGGCAGAGAGGAGUGUGGGAGCUUCAGUGUGUGGGGUGCAAGGGAGGCAGGGAGCAUGCUGGGCCGGCACUCCCCCCACCAAUAAGCCAGCCCAGUGGAAUGCUGGGAGGCCCCAGGGAUGGGGCCAGGCAGCCAAGGUGUCUCUGGUGGCAGGGAAGCAGUUAAGAGCUGCCUCAGCCCGUUCCUUCAGACAAUUAGUGACAUCUCGCUUGACAACACCACACUGAGCCGAUGCAGACCUCAGCCCCCCUCCUGGCCCCCCCACGGCCGCUUCAGCUGUUUAUUCUUGGGCUUUAACAAUUGGGAUUCUGACUUGGAGGAGCGGGCGCCCCGCGCUGCCCUCUGACCCGUCGUCGCCUUGGCAACUGGAGCCCGGUAGGCCUGGGCUCUGCGUUAGGAUUACAGAUCCUGAAUUCACAAUCUUGCUGCUCCCCUGCAAGCAGAGGCGGCGGCGGCGGCGGCGGUGGCAGCGGUGGCGGCGGCGGCAGCAGCAGCAUGCGGGAUCUUCAGCUAGACUGGAGGGGCCAAGGAGGAGGGGCCUCAGGGCCCUGCGGGAAGCACAGAUGGGAGCUUGCCUGACUGUCUCCCCAUCGGCCUGGACCCCGGAGCCUGCCCAGCUGAGCGUGUGCAGAGGGCCCCGGGUGAGGGGCGCCGCUUGGGCCGCCGUGGAGACCAUCCUGGAGAUGCUGGUGGAGGCAGGCCUGUCCUGCUGAGCCGGGCCUGUUGGCACAGCCUGCUCAGGCGCUGUCCACGCCCGAGGCCUGGGCUCAGGCCGAAGUUGCUCCAUAGCACCCCCAGCUGACGGCCAGCGACUGGCAGCGCCCCCAGGCACAGGGGCCCUCUCUCUCCCAGAGCUCUCCAGUGUGACAGCCCAGGCGGCAGAGCCGAGGGUCCUGGUCCCGGCUUCUCGCACCCUCAUGUCAGCCCCGGCCCCGCCCGGCGGCCCGCGGAGGACAAGGUCAGGAUGCGUGUGAAGCCUCAGGGCCUGGUGGUGACUUCCAGUGCCGUGUGCAGCUCUCCUGACUACCUCUGGGAGCCCAAGUCAACCCCCGGGCGGCCCCCCCCACCUCGCGGGCCUUUCUGCUUGUUGCAAAUGCCGAUUCUCCUUCUGAUCCCGGCCUGUUAAUGGGAUUGCAGGUUGUUAUCCUGUUCAUGAUGACU
rnacentral:lncRNA from 1 species